AAGACUAUAGACCUGCGGAGUACCUGCGGAAGGAUCAUUAUCGUAUUGUAACAAUUGGGGGGGCCACCGUGGGCUGUCGCUGACCCUUUGAAAGGGGGGUCGUGCACGCCCCCAUAGUGUCAUCCUCAUACAAUCCAACUCACCUCUGUGCAUCACCGCGUGGGUUCCUUUCUGGGUCGAGUCAGACUGGCUCAGAAAAAAGGGGCUUGCGUUUUCCAUACAUAUACCCUUAUAAAUCCA
rnacentral:misc_RNA from 1 species